CCACAUACUCCCUGAGUUUGAUACCAUUUACCACUAUCUAUAGUUGUUAUUUGGAUUAAAUUUGUGUGUACCACGAUAAGCACGUCAGGUCUUUGUUGCUUGGCCUUGACUUUCGAGAAAGUCAGGCACUUCGAAACGUAGACAGCGAUAUCUUUCUUCAUGCCCAGCCACCAGUACUUGUAGCGGAGUUCCUGGUACAUCUUAUCGGCACCGGGAUGAAUAGAAUAUCGAGACUUAUGGGCUUCGUCCAGCAGAAUUUGUCGUAAAUUGGUACGCUUGGGAAUCCGAAUUCGGUCCAGAAAAUGGAAUAUACCAUUCGAUUUAUUUUCUAGCUGGGCGCCAUUGUUAAGUAUCCUUUCCUUCUUCAAGGUGCCUUCGGUAAAACAAACAUGCUGAGCGUCUCGGAUUUCGAGAUGGUGUUGGGCUUGAAUAUUACGAACGCUAUGCAAAUAGCUUCGUCUUCUUAGAGCGUCAGCAACGACAUUUGCUUUACCAGGGUGAUAACAGGUCUCACAGUCGUAAUCGUUGAGAAGUUCUAUCCAUCUGCGUUGGCACAUAUUCAGUUCUUUUUGGCUGAAAAUGUGUUGUAGGCUCCUAUGGUCGGUGAAGACCGUACACUUGGUACCAUAAAGGUAAUGCAUGAGAACACAACCAAGACCAAGGUUCGAGGCAUCACAAUAGACAAUGAAGUCAUCGUUUCCGUCGGGUAA
rnacentral:lncRNA from 1 species